AACACAAUGAACAAAACAGACAAAUCCUUGCCCUCUCAGAACUUUCAUGUCAGUGGAGGAGACAAACAAUUAACAAGGUAAAUAUAUAGAAUGUAUGGUAUGACAGAUAAUGAAAAGUACUGCGAGGAAAGUAAAGCAAGGAAGGAGAAUAGGAAGACUCAGGCUGGGGGUUGCAAUUUUAGGUGUUCUGAGCAGGGAAGGCCUCACUGAGAAUGUAGCCUCCAGAAAACAAGGCAGCAAAACAAACAACCAUCUAGGCAAAGGGAACAGCAUUCUAGGCAAAGGGAACAGCAUUCUAGGCAAAGGGGACAGAAAGUACAAUAGCCCUAAGACAUGAAUGUGCUUACUGUGUUCGAACAAGAGCAAGGAAGCUCAUGUGGCUGGAGCAGACUGACCAAGAGGGAGACUUAGAGAGGAACAAAGAAAGAAGUAAUGGGGAGCAGAGAGUGCAGGACUGUGUAAGUCAUAGCAAGGACUUUGACUUUUAUUAUAGGAGAGAUGGGAAACCUUGAGAGAAUUUUGAACAAUAGAGUGACACAAUUUAAUGUACAUUUUAACAGGACCACUCUGGAUAUUGUGUCGGAAAGAGGCUGAAGGGGGCAAGGGAGGAAGCAGGGAAACUAGUUAGGAGAUAACUGAAAUAAUCUAAGCAAGAGAUGACAGUGGCUUGAAGUAGGGUUGUAGCAGUGAAGGAUAGGAGAAGUGGUCAGAAUCUGGAUAUAUCUGGAAGGUAGAACCAACAUGAUUAGUGAAUAGUUGGAUGUGAGAGGGAAAAAAUAGAGCCAAGAAUGACUAUAAAGGUUUUGAACUGAGCAACUGGAAGAAAGGAGCUGUCAUAUAAGUAGAAGGGAAGACUGGGAAGAACAGGUUUAAGGGAAAAGAUCAGGGACCCAACUUAGGCAGUUUGAGUUGCUGUUUCAGUUCUCUAUUACUGCAUAACAAAUCACCACAAAACUUAGUGGCUUAAAAAAAACAAGAAUUAAUUAUCAUGUCUCAUGGUUUCUGUUGGUCAGGAAUUCAAUGGGGGUUAACCAAACAGUGCUUGUUUAAGGUCUCUCAUUGUAAUAAUCCCAGUUUUAGCACUGAAAGUCUUGUGUCCUGGGAAGCCCCUCCCAAGGAUGCGAAAAGUUCUGGGUUUCAGUGAUGGGUGAAGAAUUGAGGAGUAGGGGUAGUACAAUACCCGUACAGUGGCCAAAAAUAUAAGGACUGAAAGCAGGGCUGUUUUUAGUGUCAAAUGGAUACAGCAUGAACUAUCUGUCCAGUCGUUACCAUCACUCACUGAUUUUUCGCCUCACCACUGAUGUUGGCAACCACGAUUUGCAGUUCACAAUAAUGGGUCACCCAUUGUUGCCUCACUUCCAGUGAUGUGAGUUAGGUGUGCAACAUAAGUGUGUGUGAUCAUGGCGUUAACAGUCCAAGUCUGACCUGGCCUAUGAAUUAACUGUUGUGCUUUGAAUUAAGAUUAUAGAGGCCACCUUGAAUAAUCAGGAUAGAUCCCCACCCCGAAAUUGGGUCCGGAUGUUGUUACUGAUGCACACACCAAGAGGCUAUGGAAAGAUUGAAUAUUUACACCACUGAGGUCCCUGAGAAGGGCAGGGCAGGCCUCUCAAGCAGGUCCAGAAUGCCUUGAGAGAGCUGAGCGGCCUGAAUGCACCAGCCAGAGCUAAGUUGUGCUCUACGUUUGAGUAUAACACCAAAAAUAACUUCUGUACAAAAGUUACAGAGGAACAAUAAAUAAAUAAUGAGGGCUUCCCUGGUGGCGCAGUGGUUAAGAAUUCGCCUUCCAAUGCAGGGGACACGGGUUCGAGCCCUGGUCCAGGAAGAUCCCACAUGCCGCGGAGCAACUAAGCCCGUGCACCACAACUACUGAGCCUGUGCUCUAGAGCCCAUGCUCCGCAACAAGAGAAGCCACCGCAAUGAGAAGCCCGCAUACCACAACGAAGAGUAGACCCUGCUCACCGCAACUAGAGAAAGCCCACGCACAGCAACGAAGACCCAAUGCAGCCAAAAAUAAAUAAAUAAAUAAAUAAUGAAA